CACACACGCUUUGUAUUUAAUUAGGAAAUAAUCUCUAAUUUUAUUUUUUGCAGUAACUAAGAGUGGAAAUGAAGUUGUUGUUGUUUUACAGCAUUUUUGCACUUACAACUUUUAUCAUUUGUAAUGCAAAAGAAAAAAAGAACGACAUUUUAAAAUGUGAUGACGACGAUUGUGAUUUAAAUCCAGAAUGUUGCAAGGUGCGUACAAAAUUAUUAGAUAAGCUCAAUGAAAUUAAAGCAAUUGGUGGUGUCAAGAAAGAGAAAGUGAAGAGAAUUUUAAUGAAAAAGGAACAAAACAACAGAUUUAAAAGAUUUUGCCCAUCGGGUUAUUAUAUCUGUUAUGUUGAUAGUUGCUGUAAUCGAUCAGGAUAGUACACAAAGGAAAAAAUACAUUCUUUACCAAACGUUUUAAAGAGGAUGACGAUUUUACUACAUGCACGAUUCUACAAAUAUGUACUUUGAAGAUAAAAAAAAAAAAUAUGUUCUACUUCUUGUCA